UACGUAGGGGGCAAGCGUUGUCCGGAUUUAUUGGGCGUAAAGAGCGUGUAGGCGGCUUGGAAGGUCAGCUGUGAAAACUCGAGGCUCAACCUCGAGACGUCGGUUGAAACCACCUGGCUAGAGUCCGGAAGAGGAGAGUGGAAUUCCUGGUGUAGCGGUGAAAUGCGCAGAUAUCAGGAAGAACACCAAUGGCGAAAGCAGCUUUCUGGGACGGUACUGACGCUGAGACGCGAAAGCGUGGGGAGCGAACAGG
rnacentral:rRNA from 1 species